rnacentral:lncRNA from 1 species
CCCAAUUGUGGCUAGUUGAGAUGUGAGAUUUUCGAGGGUUCUCAUAAGUUACUCCUUUCCUAAGUCACUGGGGCCUUUAGUCUGUACUAUUGGGAUCGAUAAGUCUCGAAGGAAGGUUCUUGUAGAUUAGCCUUUUGAAGGUUCUCUUGGAUUUAUCUUUGUUUUUUGUGCAGUUUGAGUUGGUGGGCUCUGAGGAUCCUUUUAGGUUAGUCCUCUGAAAGUCCUCUUUGGAUUAGCCUUUGCUUUCUGUGCGACUA